rnacentral:rRNA from 1 species
GGUGAACGCUGGCGGUAGGCCUAACACAUGCAAGUCGAACGGCAGCACAGGAGAGCUUGCUCUCUGGGUGGCGAGUGGCGGACGGGUGAGGAAUACAUCGGAAUCUACUUUCUCGUGGGGGAUAACGUAGGGAAACUUACGCUAAUACCGCAUACGACCUACGGGUGAAAGCAGGGGACCUUCGGGCCUUGCGCGAUUGAAUGAGCCGACGUCGGAUUAGCUAGUUGGCGGGGUAAAGGCCCACCAAGGCGACGAUCCGUAGCUGGUCUGAGAGGAUGAUCAGCCACACUGGAACUGAGACACGGUCCAGACUCCUACGGGAGGCAGCAGUGGGGAAUAUUGGACAAUGGGCGCAAGCCUGAUCCAGCCAUACCGCGUGGGUGAAGAAGGCCUUCGGGUUGUAAAGCCCUUUUGUUGGGAAAGAAAUCCAGCUGGCUAAUACCCGGUUGGGAUGACGGUACCCAAAGAAUAAGCACCGGCUAACUUCGUGCCAGCCGCCGCAGUAA